rnacentral:rRNA from 1 species
GAUGAACGCUAGCGACAGGCCUAACACAUGCAAGUCGAGGGGCAGCGGAGAGGUAGCAAUACCUUUGCCGGCGACCGGCGCACGGGUGAGUAACACGUAUGCAAUCCACCUGUAACAGGGGGAUAACCCGGAGAAAUCCGGACUAAUACCCCAUAAUAUGGGCGUUCCGCAUGGAGAGCUCAUUAAAGAGAGCAAUUUUGGUUACAGACGAGCAUGCGCUCCAUUAGCCAGUUGGCGGGGUAACGGCCCACCAAAGCGACGAUGGAUAGGGGUUCUGAGAGGAAGGUCCCCCACAUUGGAACUGAGACACGGUCCAAACUCCUACGGGAGGCAGCAGUGAGGAAUAUUGGUCAAUGGUCGGCAGACUGAACCAGCCAAGUCGCGUGAGGGAAGACGGCCCUACGGGUUGUAAACCUCUUUUGUCGGAGAGUAAAGUACGCUACGCGUAGUGUAUUGCAAGUAUCCGAAGAAAAAGCAUCGGCUAACUCCGUG